UGGGGAAUUUUGCACAAUGGGGGAAACCCUGAUGCAGCGACGCCGCGUGAUUUAGAAGGCCUUCGGGUUGUAAAAAUCUUUUCUAUGGGAAGAAAAUGACAGUACCAUAGGAAUAAGGACCGGCUAAUUACGUGCCAGCAGCCGCGGUAAUACGUAAGGUCCGAGCGUUGUCCGGAAUCAUUGGGCGUAAAGGGUACGUAGGCGGGUAAGCAAGUUAGAAGUGAAAUCCUGUAGCUCAACUACAGUAAGCUUUUAAAACUGCUCAUCUUGAGAUAUGGAAGGGAAAGUGGAAUUCCUAGUGUAGCGGUGAAAUGCGCAGAUAUUAGGAGGAAUACCGGUGGCGAAGGCGACUUUCUGGACUUUUACUGACGCUCAGGUACGAAAGCGUGGGGAGCAAACAGG
rnacentral:rRNA from 1 species